GCAAAUGAGUUCGUUGAAUACUUGUGUGUAAGAGAUUCAGGACUGAGAAAACGUUAAACGCACUACGCCCGUAGAAGCCCUGUUUUAAUUCUGAAGGACCCGGGUUCGAUUCCCGGCACCUCCACCA
rnacentral:tmRNA from 1 species